rnacentral:rRNA from 1 species
UACGUAGGGUGCGAGCGUUAAUCGGAAUUACUGGGCGUAAAGCGUGCGCAGGCGGUUUUGUAAGCCAGAUGUGAAAGCCCCGGGCUCAACCUGGGAAUGGCAUUUGGGACUGCAAGGCUUGAGUGCGGCAGAGGAGACUGGAAUUCCUGGUGUAGCAGUGAAAUGCGUAGAUAUCAGGAAGAACACCAAUGGCGAAAGCAGCUCUCUGGGACGGUACUGACGCUGAGACGCGAAAGCGUGGGGAUCAAACAGG